rnacentral:rRNA from 1 species
AGAGUUUGAUCCUGGCUCAGAUUGAACGCUGGCGGCAUGCUUUACACAUGCAAGUCGGACGGCAGCACAGAGAAGCUUGCUUCUUGGGUGGCGAGUGGCGAACGGGUGAGUAACAUAUCGGAACGUACCGAGUAGUGGGGGAUAACUGAUCGAAAGAUCAGCUAAUACCGCAUACGUCUUGAGAGGGAAAGCAGGGGACCUUCGGGCCUUGCGCUAUUCGAGCGGCCGAUAUCUGAUUAGCUAGUUGGUGGGGUAAAGGCCUACCAAGGCGACGAUCAGUAGCGGGUCUGAGAGGAUGAUCCGCCACACUGGGACUGAGACACGGCCCAGACUCCUACGGGAGGCAGCAGUGGGGAAUUUUGGACAAUGGGCGCAAGCCUGAUCCAGCCAUGCCGCGUGUCUGAAGAAGGCCUUCGGGUUGUAAAGGACUUUUGUCAGGGAAGAAAAGGCUGUUGCUAAUAUCAGCGGCUGAUGACGGUACCUGAAGAAUAAGCACCGGCUAACUACGUGCCAGCAGCCGCGGUAAUACGUAGGGUGCGAGCGUUAAUCGGAAUUACUGGGCGUAAAGCGGGCGCAGACGGUUACUUAAGCAGGAUGUGAAAUCCCCGGGCUCAACCCGGGAACUGCGUUCUGAACUGGGUGACUCGAGUGUGUCAGAGGGAGGUAGAAUUCCACGUGUAGCAGUGAAAUGCGUAGAGAUGUGGAGGAAUACCGAUGGCGAAGGCAGCCUCCUGGGAUAACACUGACGUUCAUGCCCGAAAGCGUGGGUAGCAAACAGGAUUAGAUACCCUGGUAGUCCACGCCCUAAACGAUGUCAAUUAGCUGUUGGGCAACUUGAUUGCUUGGUAGCGUAGCUAACGCGUGAAAUUGACCGCCUGGGGAGUACGGUCGCAAGAUUAAAACUCAAAGGAAUUGACGGGGACCCGCACAAGCGGUGGAUGAUGUGGAUUAAUUCGAUGCAACGCGAAGAACCUUACCUGGUCUUGACAUGUACGGAAUCCUCCAGAGACGGAGGAGUGCCUUCGGGAGCCGUAACACAGGUGCUGCAUGGCUGUCGUCAGCUCGUGUCGUGAGAUGUUGGGUUAAGUCCCGCAACGAGCGCAACCCUUGUCAUUAGUUGCCAUCAUUCGGUUGGGCACUCUAAUGAGACUGCCGGUGACAAGCCGGAGGAAGGUGGGGAUGACGUCAAGUCCUCAUGGCCCUUAUGACCAGGGCUUCACACGUCAUACAAUGGUCGGUACAGAGGGUAGCCAAGCCGCGAGGUGGAGCCAAUCUCACAAAACCGAUCGUAGUCCGGAUUGCACUCUGCAACUCGAGUGCAUGAAGUCGGAAUCGCUAGUAAUCGCAGGUCAGCAUACUGCGGUGAAUACGUUCCCGGGUCUUGUACACACCGCCCGUCACACCAUGGGAGUGGGGGAUACCAGAAGUGGGUAGGAUAACCGCAAGGGGUCCGCUUACCACGGUAUGCUUCAUGACUGGGGUGAAGUCGUAACAAGGUAGCCGUAGGGGAACCUGCGGCUG